rnacentral:rRNA from 1 species
UACGAAGGGGGCUAGCGUUGCUCGGAAUCACUGGGCGUAAAGGGUGCGUAGGCGGGUCUUUAAGUCAGGGGUGAAAUCCUGGAGCUCAACUCCAGAACUGCCUUUGAUACUGAAGAUCUUGAGUUCGGGAGAGGUGAGUGGAACUGCGAGUGUAGAGGUGAAAUUCGUAGAUAUUCGCAAGAACACCGGUGGCGAAGGCGGCUCUCUGGACCGAGACUGACGCUGAGGCGCGAAAGCGUGGGGAGCAAACAGG